rnacentral:rRNA from 1 species
GUGCCAGCAGCUGCGGUAAUACGAAGGGGCUAGCGUUGUUCGGAAUCACUGGGCGUAAAGCGCACGCAGGCGGAUCGUCUAGUCGGGGGUGAAAUCCCGAGGCUCAACCUCGGAACUGCCUUCGAUACUGGCGAUCUGGAGUCCGGGAGAGGUGAGUGGAACUCCGAGUGUAGAGGUGAAAUUCGUAGAUAUUCGGAAGAACACCAGUGGCGAAGGCGGCUCACUGGCCCGGUACUGACGCUGAGGUGCGAAAGCGUGGGAGCAAACAGGAUUAGAUACCCUGGUAGUCCAGCCGUAAACGAUGAAUGCUAGCCGUCGGGCAGCAUGCUGUUCGGUGGCGCAGCUAACGCAUUAAGCAUUCCGCCUGGGAGUACGAUCGCAAGAUUAAAACUCAAAGGAAUUGACGGGGCCCG